GGUAUAGGGGAGACUCUGCCGGAUUUUCGGCACGACUUAGGACGUAUUGGGUCUUUUCUUGAUUUGUAUUGAGUCAUUUGUAUUAAAUAAUUAUAAUAUAAUUGUCAGGUGAGCCGGGACAGCCUUCUUCCUCCGCCCAGCCGCCACAGUAAUUUGUCAUCAAGUCUGCCACAGGAGGAUAUUUAUUCUGGGUUAACCUGCUUUUAUACUUCGCAGGUUGUUUAUUGAUAUUUGUGUAAUUUUAUUUACUCCUAGAAUUUCCGCAUGUGUUAGCAGUAAUUAUUUGAAUUUGGUCUGUAAUAUUAUAUUCAUGUUGGACCUGUAAACUUAAUAUUUUAAGUCUGUUUUGAUGGAUUGGAUGAGGGAGCUGAGCUCCCAUUUAUUAUUA